rnacentral:rRNA from 1 species
UACGUAGGGGGCAAGCGUUGUCCGGAAUCAUUGGGCGUAAAGCGCGUGUAGGCGGCUCGGUAAGUCUGCUGUGAAAGUCCAGGGCUCAACCCUGGGAUGCCGGUGGAUACUGUCGAGCUCGAGUCCGGAAGAGGCGAGUGGAAUUCCUGGUGUAGCGGUGAAAUGCGCAGAUAUCAGGAGGAACACCAAUGGCGAAGGCAGCUCGCUGGGACAUGACUGACGCUGAGACGCGAAAGCGUGGGGAGCAAACAGG